UUGUCUAAUCCGUUCUCUAGCCCUCUGCCCGGACUCAUUCUUCAUUCGGACUAAUUCCUCGGACAAACCCACCGACGGAAAGACCUCGGAGCCAUAUCUGAUGCAAGAAAAGAAAUGUAUUUUCACUCUCUGUGUUAAGAUUUACUGAGUAUUCAAUGUGUUCUUCUGGAGGAUGUGGCAUGUUUUACAGCUGAUAAUCUUUUGCAAACAGGAGGCUCUAGCACAGUUCCAGCAGUAACCUGUGUCUCAUUACUGCCUCCCACGACUUCAGUACUCAACUCAUCUGUAUCCAAUACUUUGUCGGCUAUGGACAGCACGCCCACAUCAAUGGAGGUCACCAUUCCCUCAUAAUCAGCGCCGGACAAAAGGAAAACAGAUGUUACCUGAACUCUACUUUUAUUGUACCAUUGACUCUUGUUUUGAAUUAAAUAGAUGUAUGAAUACACAGAAUUAACGUUAAAGUAUGAAUAAAA